AGAGUUUGAUCAUGGCUCAGAAUCAACGCUGGCGGCGCGCCUAACACAUGCAAGUCGAACGAGAAAGUGGAGCAAUCCAUGAGUACAGUGGCGUACGGGUGAGUAACACGUGGGUGAUCUACCUCUUAGUGAGGAAUAACCCUGGGAAACCGGGGCUAAUACCGCAUAAGCCUGAGAAGGGAAAGCAGCAAUGCGCUGAGAGAGGAGCCCGCGGCCGAUUAGCUAGUUGGUGAGGUAAGAGCCCACCAAGGCAGAGAUCGGUAGCCGGCCUGAGAGGGCACACGGCCACACUGGCACUGAAACACGGGCCAGACUCCUACGGGAGGCAGCAGUGGGGAAUCUUGCACAAUGGGGGAAACCCUGAUGCAGCGACGCCGCGUGAGCGAUGAAGCCCUUCGGGGUGUAAAGCUCUUUCGUCAGGGAAGAUCAUGACGGUACCUGGAGAAGCAGCUGCGGCUAACUACGUGCCAGCAGCCGCGGUAAUACGUAGGCAGCAAGCGUUGUUCGGAGUUACUGGGCGUAAAGGGUGUGUAGGCGGUUCUUUAAGUUUGGUGUGAAAUCUCCCGGCUCAACCGGGAGGGUGCGCCGAAUACUGAGGGACUAGAGUGUGGGAGAGGAAAGUGGAAUUCCUGGUGUAGCGGUGAAAUGCGUAGAUAUCAGGAGGAACACCGGUGGUGUAGACGGCUUUCUGGACCAUAACUGACGCUGAGACACGAAAGCGUGGGUAGCAAACAGGAUUAGAUACCCUAGUAGUCC
rnacentral:rRNA from 1 species